rnacentral:lncRNA from 1 species
GAAGAAUUAUACUACUUGAAAAGUGUUGCCUUGCUACAUGUUGCUGAAGAUGCAGUCCGAAUUGUCUUUGACGAGGAAUUUCAUCCAGCAGCACUUGCAAACUGUAUUCGUCAAAACGUUUGUAAACUCCUGUCUCUUCUGAAAAAAAAACAUUUGAAUAAUUUUCAAUGGAAAAUCCUUUUCUCGAAAGGUAAAAAGAUUUUAUGUUUUGAUAAAAUACAUGUACUGUUCUGCAAUUCGUUUUGAGUCAACUAAAGUUUGUAUAGUCGUUAAAUAUUACUUGAAAAAUACUUAUUUUAAUUAACCAGUGAGAAACAUAUAAUAAGAACACGUUUGAAUAAAACAUAUCAACUUAGAUUUAAAAUGAAACAUACAGAGACAAAAACUUGCACACAAACUACAAAGUAGACUACAGAUGUCAAAAAUUCAACCUCGAAACAACAAAUAGAAAAAAGGGCGGUUACGUCUACUGCACUAUACCUGCUAUUAUUUUUGAUGGCCACGGAUUCUUAUUACUAGUACUCAGUAUUAUCAUUAUUUUGAAAAGUACAUUUAAAACAAUACAUUUAAUUGCAUAAGGAAUCUUGUGAUAAGUAUAGGUUUUAAUCAAUAUAUAAAACCAUAUUCUUAAAUUCUGGGACCAAUAAUUAAACAAAUUACUUCAAAUAAUUUUGGUGGUUUUCUAGAUUGAAGAUGUGAUUUUUGAAUUAAUUGAACUUUAAGCUUCAGCCUCAAUAUUUAAUGAAUGUUAUAAUAAGUGUACAUUUCAAACAUUUAUCAAAACACAAAAUGACUUUCAAUCUUUUGGGGGUUUAUCAGACCUUUCUCGUUUGUAUUAAGUUUUGAAAUUUGAAAUAUGUUAGAUUCGUACAGCACUGAAGAAACAUUCAGUGUUAAAAUUAUCAUCUGGUAUAAUAAAAUUGGUUCCGUUAAGGUUUGUUUUCCAAUAUUCAUUUUUAUAUAUCAUUUCAGCUGUAUCAUCUCAAAUGUUUAAUCUGGGAUUGAUGUUAGUGCUCCUGAAGAAUGUUGCCGGUCUUGUAAUUA